UACGUAGGGUGCAAGCGUUGUCCGGAAUUAUUGGGCGUAAAGAGCUCGUAGGCGGUCAGUCGCGUCUGCUGUGAAAACUCGGGGCUUAACCCCGGGCCUGCAGUGGGUACGGGCUGACUAGAGUGCGGUAGGGGAGACUGGAAUUCCUGGUGUAGCGGUGAAAUGCGCAGAUAUCAGGAGGAACACCGGUGGCGAAGGCGGGUCUCUGGGCAACUACUGACGCUGAGGAGCGAAAGCGUGGGGAGCGAACAGG
rnacentral:rRNA from 1 species